CACGUAGGGGGCAAGCGUUGUCCGGAUUUAUUGGGCGUAAAGAGCUCGUAGGCGGCUCAGUAAGUCGGGUGUGAAACCUCCAGGCUCAACCUGGAGACGCCACCUGAUACUGCUGUGGCUAGAGUCCGGUAGGGGAGCGUGGAAUUCCUGGUGUAGCGGUGAAAUGCGCAGAUAUCAGGAGGAACACCAGCGGCGAAGGCGGCGCUCUGGGCCGGAACUGACGCUGAGGCACGAAGGUCAGGGGAGCAAACGGG
rnacentral:rRNA from 1 species